GGCUGGGGUGGAUUCAAUCUCCAGUACCAAAAAAUAAAAAUAAAAAUUUACAUGGUUAGAUAUUUUUGUCUUCAUCUCAAGAUAGGAAAUGAAGCAGUACAAAAUAUCUGAGAAACCUAUACUUAUCAAAAAUGUUUAACUUGAAUCUAAUGAAGCCUUUAUAACUACUUUCCAAUUUAAGCAAAAUAAGAUAAACAGGUUAAAAGAUAUUACAAUGACAUCCUAUUGGACAAAUAAUCUAGUCUCUAACAAAUCUCUGUCAUGAAAAUAAUGAGGUAUCUACUAAGAAUACAUACAUACUAAGAUCCACAAACUAUUCUGAACAUAAGGAUUGCAAAGAUAAAUCAGUUCCCAUUCUCAAGUAACUUGUUGAGAAAUCUAUUCUACUUAGUUAUCAAACUGAACUUUUCCAAGUUCUUAUUUCAUUAAAGGGCACAAAAAUGGCAGCACAAAAUAAAAAGUGUUAUCAGUACCAUUUUUCAGCCUUGAUAAGAUCCUGAUUCACACUAUUGGUGCUGUGUUCUCUGCCAUCAAAUGUCCUGAUCAGGGGAUAUUCUGUUUUUCCUGCACAUGCCAUUCUCAUUUUUAUAUUGAAAGCAUCUUGUGCUAUCUGCUUGUAACGCUUUCUGCUGAGUAAGAUCUGUUGCUUCACUUGGUAUAGAGCAUCUAAAAAGAACCUUUCCACUUCUGUUCUCUCAUCCAGUAUGUUCUUGGCCAGCUUCUUCACGCGAUUCAUUUCCCUGUCCUUCAUCUGAAGGAGGUAUUGUAGCUUGUCAAUUUCUCCCCGACCUGCUUGGUUCUCUAUUGUUGCCUGUUGCUGCAGGUUCGAAACUUCAGUCUCAAACUCUUUGGUCAUGAAACUCAGAGCAUUCUCUAAGCUUACCACCUUCUUCCGAAGAACUUGGAUUUGUGCUUUCUGCUGGAUAAGGAAAAUGCAUCAUCCAGACAGAAGAAACAUGGUUCUACUGUCCUUUUGUAUGCUUAUAGUAGUCAAUUCUUAAUAUUCACCAACCCAAUCAUUAAAAAAAAAAAAAAAAAAAAAAA